UUCAGCAAGGAUGAGCAUAUAUA
rnacentral:piRNA from 1 species